UACGUAGGGACCGAGCGUUGUCCGGAAUCAUUGGGCGUAAAGAGCUCGUAGGCGGUUUGUUGCGUCGGCUGUGAAAACCUGAGGCUCAACCUCAGGCCUGCAGUCGAUACGAGCAGACUAGAGUGUUGCAGGGGAGACUGGAAUUCCUGGUGUAGCGGUGAAAUGCGCAGAUAUCAGGAGGAACACCGGUGGCGAAGGCGGGUCUCUGGGCAACAACUGACGCUGAGGAGCAAAAGCGUGGGGAGCGAACAGG
rnacentral:rRNA from 1 species